CUUUGUAUGUUGUGUGGUUUCAUGGUCCACUGUGGAGCUCAGAGUAUAGAGUUCUUCAGUAUAUCUCUUAAAAUCUAUCGUUUGAAUAACACUUUGUUGAGAUAUAAUUCACAUAUAAAAUUUUUGAAGUGAUUGAAUAUACUUACAAUAUGAGGAGCAGACAAUGUAGGUGUCCUGCCCAUACCUCCUAUCCGACACCUUUACCAUUUUUGUGGACAAUGGCUCCUGAUAAAGGCUUUCUACUCCCAGCUGCUAGAACCCUGCAGUGAUUAACCAAUGACUGAAGUUUACAGGGUGAGGUGGAGUAUAACUAUUCCAGCUCCCUUCUCUGCUGACUGGAACAACACUGUCCUCCACUGUUUCCAGAGCUUCUCUGUGGAACCAAGCCAUAGGUUCACCUCCAUGGGACUUCACUAAUAUUGCAGCCUGACUUGUCUUCCUUCCCUUUCCGGUCCCAUUUUCCAUUUCCUAACUGUUUUUCCGGAACACUUUCUAGUUAAUCACUGUCAUGAAAGACCCUUGUCUCUGGGCAUGCUUGUGGGGAGUCCAACCUACUACGACACAUGGCUCAUGGCCAUUGUUUCUCUGUGUGAUCCAAAGAAAACCCGCAUCCCAAUCUCACGCUGGAUUUGUUCAAUACGGAUUCCUGAGUCUCAUCCAAACCCAAUGAGUCAGAAUGUCUAGGAUUGGGGCACAGAGAUCUGCAUUUUGAACAAAGCUGAUCCCCCAUCCCAAGAUUCUUCUGCACCCUGGAGUGUGGGAACUGUGGUUCUAGUCAGUACACUUGAUGUCAAGAUGUUGCAAAUGCCCUUGUCUAGAUGAAGACUUUACCGUACUACAUUAAGGGUCUGCAAGAGAAAACCCAGCCAAGGAUUCUCAGAACAACCCGAGCAACUUUCCUAUCCUGUCUCUCCUGAUGAAGGCUCCUGCUGCUUCUUAUGAGCACACUUACCCAUUGAUCCUCCUAUCAUCAAUAAGAAUCCGUUGAGAACAUCUUCCAGUACAGAGAGGAACCAACAUCUGGUUAAUUCAAACACAACCCCUGGGAUCAGAGGAAGUUAUUGUCCCAAAGUUGUGUGUCAUGCCCGAAGUGUCUGGGAUCCCCGAGUGCCUGUGGUGCCCAAGAGCUAUGAAUCUGCUAUCAUCAACACAGAGGGUACCUUCUGAAUGGGCUAUGUCUACAGUGAUGCUGCAAAUGGAAGCUAACCCUAGGAUGACUGGCCUCUGACACUUGAGCCAUCCCAUCAUCUGUCAUGGGUUGACCCAUCCAUCCCCUCAAUGAGCCUGACCUUCAGGACCACUGACAGAGGAGCAGUCAAUAGAAAUUAAUUGUUAAAUACCCAGAAAAUCUGAAAUGGUAUUUAAUAUGCAGUUCAUCAAGAGCAAAAGUUCCUUAAAUCUUCAUCUAGAAAAGUUAUUUAUAAGGGAUGAAUAUGUUGUAUGAAUAUGUUGUAUGCAAAUAUUAUAUUCAAGGGCAAGACCAUGAAAACAGUUUAAGAAUCCGACAGGGAAUUAGAUAAAGACAUCGGAGUGCACUUGUCAAAAUACAGCUAUCAAGAAUGAUGAUGUUGAAAAAUAGUUUAGCAAUAUAAUUGUCUAGAACCACAGGGAGUCUGAGAUUUUACCCAACUUGUGAGUUAACAACUCUGCUAUAGCUUCAUGAAAGAAGACACAAGACUCCUGGGUCAGGAACAAAGGUCUCUAAUACUCACAGCAAUAUCAGGAGCCAGAAUUUCAGGAUCCUUUUUCCUGCCAGUUUCUCAAGUCCUAAUUACCACCGAGUUACAGGAAAGGGCCAGGUAACACUAGCACUGCCAUCAGUGGCUGUAUUACAGAACAGGAACUCCAAGCUUAGGAAACCCAAAUCUUUUAUAGUUAACAAUGAACACAUCUGCCAUUGUUCUGAAGGGAGACGCUACCCCAAUCUUCCACACCUGUUCACUAUAUAAAUAUCUGUGAAAAGAUAGACAGAAAAAUAGGUGGAGAAUGCCUCUGCUCACAAGAUGUGCAGAAACGUGAGAGGCUCAUGGAGAACUGUUUCCCUACAAUGACAAAAUGCUGACGAUAUAUUGUUAUGUAAAAUAAAGCA
ensembl:lncRNA WDR11-DT WDR11 divergent transcript